UAAGAAUGUGAACCAAGGUGAGGAGG
rnacentral:piRNA from 1 species